AUGCUGGUUUCAGCGGGAAUUUAUUUACUUGAACUCACUCCGCAGCAAGCUUUUACAAGAGUAUACUCGGACAAAAUUCCUCACGAUCAAAUCAUAAUUCACGCCUUUUGCAAUUUUGUUUGCGUCGUCCACCUGCUUCUCCAAGUUCUGAAAACCAAGAAUAUUCGACCGAUCAUCGUCGGCAUAAUCGAAAGUGAGUUACAAUUUCCUGCCAAUUUCAACAGUACAUUUUGGAACAGUUUAUCAGCCCCGGUUCUGCUUUGCACAACACUAGCACUUGCUCCAAUUGUCAUCAACAGGCUUUCCCUGACGGACACCCCAACGCCGCUAUGGAGGAAAAUUCAGGAGUUCAUGGUUUUCAUACCACUGUCUGUGGACUUGCAGUUCUAUGCGUUAGCGACUUCACUGCACCAGUUAUUUGUAUCACUUAACUCAAGGCUAAACGGCCUCAGAAAAAGGAUCCACGUGGACAGCAGUAAAAUUGUGGCGAUGAAGAUCGGGCGACUGGCGGACAACCACUCUCUGGUUUGCGAUUACGUGGAGAAAGUGAGCAAGAUGUACGAGCUGCAGAUGGCCCUGGACGUGCUCCAGAUCGGGAUCUUCAUGGUCAUCAACCUGCAGCAGAUCUGCGACUCCUCCAUCCGGGUCCUGGACCCAGCGUGGGUGAACGUCCUCCACGGCGCUGCAUGGUCUCUCCACCUCCUCUCCAGGAUGUACAUCGUCACGUCCGCCCCUGACGUCGCCGUCAACCACGGAACAAGAACUGGCGUUGUAUUAGCUCUGUAUGAUGAUUGCGGAGUUGGCAAAGUUGUGCAGGAGGAGGCAAGUUAGACUUUACACUAGAAUUUAUUUUUUAUAUUUUUAUUAUUGUCUACAACUAAAAUAAAUUUAAAGCAAUUUUUAAUUCAGAUUGUGUACUAGAAACUCUUGAUUUUCUGUGGGGAGAUUCUAGUUCCUUGAAUGGGAGAGAGAAUUACUCUUUCCGAUUAGAAUAAAGAGCCGUUUUACACAUAUUUAUCUCCAACUUUUCUGCUUCUUUUUCUCACUUUGAUUUGGUUGGUAAAUGAGAUAGGGCAAUUUGGUCCUCUCUUAGUGUAUACCGAUAAUCAGAUCUCAUUUUUCAUCUCUAUAUGUGACCACUGUUCAAAUAAAAUUAACAGAUGUUCACCAAAAUUUCGUUUUUUAUGGAGCAGAUGAACUUCUUUAGAUUUAAAAUUUUUGUGCCACUCGGCCACGAAGAGCUGUGGAUGAACAUUUUUUAAAAUUACCGUAAGUAUUUUAAACUUUUUUUGCAGACAAUUUCAGGGAAAAAUUAAAACAUAUCUAGAUCAAUAGUUAAAGCUCAUGUUUAUAUCUACUUUUUGUCUGGGGCAGAUCUGUGGUUUUUUUAUUUUCUUGGUGUGAAAAUGUUUCAACUUUGUUAUGCAAGAUCGGCAUGUUUCUCAUUCUAGGUUAAUCUAUUUUGGAUAAAACAGAAAAUCGAAACAUAAGUUUCACAAUUUGUAGAGCAUUUGACUUAAAUAUGGGACUUUUUGCAAAGGUAAGUAGUUGAAACUUUCAUCAUCUUUAUUGGAAGGUCAUUAAUGAAACAACUGAAGUGUUGAACGGUCGAAUCAUAAAAAAAUGAAAAUGAAAAAAUAAAAUGUAGAAAAAUUGAAGUGAGGAUUUAGGGGGAAAAAAUAUAUACAUAAUGUAUGUAUUCAUAACCUGUACAUUUUAUUGUACAGAUUUAGCCAGACACUAGAGCCUACACAGCUUAAUGCUGUACAUUAACCUGUAAAAGAGAAAACUUAUCACCCUUGAGAAAAUAAAUGACUGCUAGGAAAAAAGCUCUGUUGGCCUCUGGACAUGCAAAAUUCAGAAUGAUGUCUCCUUCUGCGCUCUGCAGAAACACCAUCACAACUCCCUUCAAGAUUUUGCUUUUUUCUUUCUCACACAAGGCUAUGUUGCCAGAAAGACAGAUCACCAUUAUGUUUCAUUCUAUCUGUUUGAGUUCUCAGUAGUUUGCCCCAAUUACUCUAGAAUUAUAUAGGCUGAAUGCUUGUUUUUUUUCUGUGAUGUAAUUUGACAGAAAAAAAUUCAACAUACCUAGAAUGGAGACUUGCAUUGACACGUAGAAAUACCUAAAUAUUUAUAAAGCUUUCGGUUACUUCCUGUCCAUCUUGUCAUGGCAGCAUCUUGUCAAAUCGGAGAGUCUUCUCUGCAGGCUAAUUAUUGCAAUCGAAAGACAAAAUGGAGGACAAAGCGAAAAUUGAGUGAUCAGGUGACCAGAAAGCAGGUGGUUGCGAUAGACAAAGGAGGUAAGUAUAAGACUGACUAACAGCAACCUACAAGAGACUCUAUAGUUAGUCUAUCAUUUUCCCCCUUAGUCAAUAAGAGCCACCCAUUUCAACGAAUGGAUCACUCCUUUUUCGCGCGCAUUUUCUCCAUCACGCGCUUUUUUUUAUUUCAGUUACUUAUAGAUAAAAUACAGAGGCUGCUUAAAAGUAGACAGUAAUUAGACCUCUAAAAUCACUUAGGAAGAGAACUUCCCUUAAUAGUUAACAGGAGGCAGCGAAUAACACUAAUGCUAUCUUUGGAUGUUUGAUGUCUGUUGGUAGAUCAUCCUUUCGUGCAUUGGAUUCACAGUCGUCCUUUUACAAUUCAAGUUGGCUGUUGAGGUUAAUACGGAGUUGGAUUAAUCUUGUCAUCAUUUGAAUAUUUGAAAAUUAUUUUCAGAAAAUCUGAAGCAGUAUUGUUAUUUGAUUGCCUUAUUCUCAGAUCUAAGUAUGUACUAAAAUGUACUUUUUUGCUCAUGUUGAAAUGAAUGAUUUUGAUUUUGCUGACUUUGAAAAUACAUAAUUACAUCCUGGUAGAAACUGGGUCUUUUUUUUCUUUCAUUAUCACUCUAUCCGUAAAACAUGCUGAAUAUAUGGACUGAAUUUUACACAGGAACUAAUAUCACACUGCCAAGCUAAGCAAAACCUUAAGAAUCACUCCAAAUUUUGAGUCUUUUUUAGACAGAACGCUCAGUGAAAGGAAAGUCUAAGUACAUAGGUGCAUAUUUUAUUUUUUAAGAUGCAUGAAUACUGCAUCCCCUCUAGUGUGUAUGAAGUACAACAAUAAUGUGGCAACAAAUUAUGCGAGUGAGGAAAGUGGUUUGUUCUAGGGUAAGAUGUCUGCAAAAAAAUACGAAAUCGUGAAUGGAGAAAUGUGGUUCUUACUUAGCACAGCAGCAUGGAUUUGGACAACUUCUUUCAUGGUAAAGAGAAAAUCUGAAAAUUUGAAUCGUUUCUACUUGCAUACUUGCACACCAAAAAACAGUUCAUGAAAUGAGAAAAUUAUUCAUGCAGUUUUACUGCUCUCUUACGGUUAAUUUAUGACACAGAAAGAAGUUGCAAAAUAUUAAUAACUUUGCAAUACUACAUAUAUGUUCCUAUCCGCAAAAGGCAAUCCAAAUGAAAAGAAAAAUAAAAUUUCUCUUCUUCACAAAGAGACAAUGAUCAUUUCCUUGGACAUAGUAAGUAAACUUUGACUGAAGGAUUGUGAAAUUAUCGCUCAAGCAGUGUUCUGCUUUCCCCGGCACAAUGCGCUAAAUGUGCCUGAAAAUAGGAUUUGAGAGCCUAAAAACUGGGAAGGGGGAAUCGUGGUGCCCAGAAAAGCUGUGCAUCUCAUCAAUUUUUGAAACUCGCAAUGGUGAUGCUCCCAACACAUCUAGAACGAGAAGAUUUGAGAAAGGGAUAGUAAACACAGAGUGAAACAGCAUGGUGUAUGCAAAAAGUGAAUUAGGCUUCUGAUGAUCAGAAAUAGCUCCUAAAAAUUGGGCUUUCUGGACAAGGUGGGUCCUAACAAAUUUUAAAGAGAAGGCAGAGCACAGUACUUGAGUGCUCAGAAUUUUUUCGAGAGCUCUAAUAGGGAAAAAAUGGUCAGAAUUGAUGUAGUUGAAUGGUUUCAAACUUUAUACUCCUUUUAUUUGCUAAAAACUGUUACAUAUUUACAAAGAGACCAGAGAUUUUUAUGCACUUUAUACUCAAUUUCUACACUUCUUUCUUACCAAUUAAGAAAAAAAACCAAUGUUGGAGUUUUGUGGCAGCUUAAACUAUCCUGAUACCAAAACUCUCAUGAGUAGACUUCACGCAACUUACAAAAGCAACGAUCAUUGUUUUCAAGAUGAACUUUCUUCAACUUCUUCAUUUUUUCCUGGCACUAAAUGUUCGGCACAGGUCGAUAGCAACCUACAACAAAAGAAGAGGAUUAUUUAGAGAUUUAAGCAUUUCCCAUAUACGUCUGGGAUCUCUUGAGAGAAUACUUCCCAACAGUUCUAGUAUAAUAUCCAUCAUAAAAUACCAUUAUAAUCAAAGAUAAAAAAGUAAUGUUAAAGCUUUCAAUGAAAUUGCAAGUUAUUCC
rnacentral:lncRNA from 1 species